rnacentral:RNase_P_RNA from 1 species
CCAGUCGGCUGGACGGCCGCGGCUGCUAUGCUCGAAAGGGUGCAGUCGAGGAAAGUCCGGGCUCCACGCGGAUACGGCGGCGGGUAACGCCCGCCGGAAGCAAUUCUAGGGAUAGCGCCACAGAGAAUAGUCUGCCGACCCCGGUUCCGGGAGUUUCUGGGAUUUGGGAGGCGAUGGUGAAACGGUGGAGUAAGAGCCCACCGCCGCGACCGUAAGGAAGCGGGCACGGCAAGCCCCGCCGGGAGCAAGACCGAAUAGGGAUGCGAUGGCGCCGCAAGGCGUACGGCCCGUCCGUGGGAGCGCAUCCGGGUAGGUCGCGAGAACCAUGCGGCGACGCAUGGUCCAGAGGAAUGGUCGUCACCUCGCAAGAGGAACAGAACCCGGCUUACAGGCCGACUGGCAUU